rnacentral:lncRNA from 1 species
GGAGAUUUUAGGUACUUUGUAAAGUAAGAAGUUUCCCACUAUUAUAGAGCAUUAUUUGUAACAGAACUUCCAUAUGCUUUGGCUUGUGAAUUAGAAGUGCUACAUAGNCUAUGGAUGUUAGACCAUGUAGGUUGUCAACAUAGUGAUCCUGUAAGCUAAUAGUUGUUGGAUUUUCCUGAUUUUAGCCAUCAUUAUGAGCUCUUAGAGCAUCUAAGUUGCUAAGUUGCAGAAGCAUUAUAUGAAUCAUGCAAAGAGUUAAAGCUUGGUACUAUGAGUUCUCUAGCUCUACAAUUUAUUGGUUNUGGUGCUAAGAAUUUGAAAAGUAACGUACUUUUAAGCCUAACUAAGUUUUGUUUCUCCAUACUCAUGUCAUGUUGGUGAUUUUAGACCACAUGUUGAAUUAUAGAAACCUAGAAAUAUACUACUUCUCUCUUCCCAUUUCUUUUCAUUUUUAUGGUUAUUUUAUGUAGGUUAAGACCUACUGUAGGUGUAAAUUUGAAGUAAAGUAAAUUUGAAGUAAAAACCCUUAUUUCAUACCAUGUGUCUUAAUAGUGAGUAAUAAUUAAUUAAUACUUCAAAUUUUUACUUUUCUCUGUUAAUAACAAUGAAUGUGAACUAGUACUAAAAUUUCUACUAUCUGUCACGAUGCUUAAUUUUAUUUAUUAUCUUAUUUUUUACCAAAUUGUUCAAUUCAUGUUUUCUCUAUUUUUUUCUUAGGUGGUUUAGAUAAUUUUGGUGUCUCUAUGCAUUGCACUGGCUUGUAAACACGACUGAUAAAUUUAAAAUAUUUCAGAGAGUUUUUAAGGAGGAUGAUAAUUCAGAAAAAAAAUUAACUUUUAUGUGAUAUCUUUGUUAGUUAAUUGUAUCUUCUGGAUUGGGUUGCAUCUAGUGUCUAAUUUAUUGCUUUUAGGAGAUAUUAGUAAUAUUUUUUGUUUUAUAAAUAUGUGUUAAUGUAGUGGUUUUANCUAUAAUUUUAGUGUAAUUAUUAACUGUAGCAUAAUAAGUAAUAUAAUUCAGUUUUUAAUUUCUAGUUUUAGAGGAGAUCAGUAAUUGUUCUUUGGAUUUUUGUUAUUAAUAUUCUGCAUUAAAAGGGUAAACUAGGAUUUUGUUGAGUUAAUGUUUGGGGAUUCCUUCUCAUUUCACUUUUAGUUUUUGUUUGUUUAUUUUGAUUAAUAAGAAUUUUCAUUGUUUUCAUUAUAUUCAUAGGAAAUGUCUAGAGCUGCAUUGAGGAAUGAUAUAUCUAGAAACAUCCAGGAUAUAUCUAGAAACUCCCUUGCAUGUACAUGCUUGUUUCCUAACAUAUUUUGCAAUUUCAAACCUAUGCUGCAUUCAUAGGGUUAUGUGUAAUUACGCCGCAUAUAUCAUUUUUAAAAACUAGGUGCACAAUCAUAUUUUUUUUUUCAGUGGUUGAAUAUAGGUUGCUUUCAAAAGUUGCAUUUUAUACCAUUGAGAUUGAUAUGGGAAUUUAUACUUUUUCAGGCAUCCAACCAACUGAGUCGAUUAUAUUUGAAGUUUGUGAAAAGGAAUCCUGGAUAUGAUGGAAAGGGACUUGUGCAAGUAUAUUUCCUUCGUUUCCCCUCUACCCAUAUAUAAAGUACACAAAGCUUCCGUUUGAGGAAGAAAAGAGAUGCCAACAUGGAUUUUGUUUGUCAUCUGUGUAUAACACUUAAAUGUUUUCCUUGAGAUUUGCAUUUAAUGGAUUCAACACUGACGAAAGAGAGGCCACUGGUAAUGAGUACAUUAGAUAUUUAGUAGUUGAGGUUAAGAUCAAAAUGAUUCCUUGAUAUAACUUAUUUCAGGCCUUUUUUAAAAGCUGCUUAAUUCAUCUUUUAGUAAAAUAAUUUUUUUGAAAGAAUCCAGCAUAUAGUACUUUUUCCAUAUUUUAAUUCAUCUUUUCAGUCUUUUAUAAGUACAAUAAUUNUUGAAAAAAUGUAGUUAUUUUUUAUUAAUAUAUGGAGUGGAAAAGCACAAACACAAACUGCUUGGGCAUCACAUUUAGUAAUUGAGUUUAACAUUUGGUACUUAUAAUUAUUAUUAUUAUUAUUAUUAUUAUUAUUAUUAUUAUUCUCAUCAU